rnacentral:lncRNA from 1 species
UGUGCAUGCGUCCGUGGUGCUACGGUGGUGGUGCUGUUGCAGCCGCGUCUUACUCGCUGUUCAUCGUCGAGUGGGACAGUUCUGAAGUGUCGGUUAGCGCACGAGUGUGCGCCAGGAAGCUUAUGCAGCAGCAAUGCCAGGGUGCUGCAUUCCCCGAUGCUCGGACCACUGCAGGAAGGGCACACGGAUGUUUCGUUUCCCGGCUGACCACAACCGAAGAAAAGUUUGGCUAGCAUAGGUAAAGCGAGACUGCUGGGAACCCACUGCUGCUUCUCGCGUAUGUUCUGCACAUUUUGAAGAAACAAGUUUCGAGCAAAGCAGGCAGGAUGGCUUAAAGAAGCUAAGGCCAGAUGCGGUUCCCGCACUUUUCCCUUAUCGAGGUAAGCUUGAAAUAGUGAUCCAUCCAUCUCUUGAAUACAGCACUGCCCCAUUUAUAUAAAACGUCUGCAAAGAGGCUUGCCAUGUACACGUAUACAGUAGUGCUUUGGUCGCUUUGUGUAAGUUCAAAAAUGUGAGCUCCGCUGUUUUCAGAAGACCGAAAAGAAAGGUUCAUUGCCAUCAGUAUAGCAAAGUUCAUAGCAGGACGAAGCCUUUCCUACUGACUUCAAUUUAACCGGUCCCUGUGCUACCCGUGUCCACAUUAUCCUCACAAACUUUAUAAUCUAUUCUGCCAACCUAACUCUCUACCUGCCCCUACUAUAUUUAAUUUUCUUGGAACCCCCACUGCUACUCUAAGGGACCAUUGCUUAUCUUCUCUACACAUUAUAUGCCCUGGUAUGUAUGAUACCCAGAUC